GCAAUCAUACUCGCACUAAUGCACCAAAUCCUAUCAGAACUCCGCAGUUAAGUGUGCUUGGAGGAGAGUAGUACUAGAAUGGGUGACCCCCUGGGAAGUCCUCGUAUUUCACC